rnacentral:lncRNA from 1 species
UGCUCCCACAGCUGAUUCAGUCCUUGCCUCAGGUGAUCAAUUGGUGGUUCAGGCUGUGAUUCAACAGUUCCCAUGCAGUACUUUAUCCAAACACUGAACAACCGUGCUGUACCUUCGUAGCAACGUGAGGAGUUCUACACGUUGAGAGAUGACUGCCUCAACUUUCAGCUUUCAGCCCUGACUCUUCUUAAAGUGUACAGUAACAUCUUAAAAAAAAAAGGAAGAAGCAGCAGCAAAGUGGGUGUAUUCAUGUCUGGAAAAACAGAGCUGACAAGUUAAAGACUAUCUGAAUGUCUUAAGGUGA